AUUUCCACAAAUUUUUCUUCCCCUUUAGCACAAAUAAAUGAUAAUUUUCACCCUCACCCUCAAGUCAAUGGCGAUUAUUUUUUUUUUAAUAAAAAAUCACCAGUACAAAUCUGGUGGUUUCAACGAAGCAAGAGACGAGUCAAUGGAAGAAAGACCUGCCUGGGAUGAAGCUUCUUCUUUAUUCUUUAUCAGCAAUAAGCUCAAUCUCUCUUCAAUAUGGCGGAACCUGAAGCAUCCACGUCUAAUAAUAACUCAGAAAACCAGGAGUUCGUCGCAAAGAUUCGCGAGAAUGAGAGAGAGAUCAUGCAGCUAAGGAAACGUCUUGCGGAUUAUUCCAUUAAGGAAGCACAAAUACGCCAUGAAAAUGAUGAUUUGCAAAAGCGAAUUGCAGAUAUCCGUGCGGUCUUUGAUCAACGGCAACAAAACCUAGAAGAUGCAGAAUCGAAAGCUUCGUCAUACAGACAGCAAAUUAUUGAAGAGAAUAUUCAUCUCGAAUAUGCCUUGCAGAAUGCAGAGGAAGAAAAAUUAACAUUUAUGUCAACGUUGUUGCCUCUUCUCGCUCAAUACUCCUUCCAGCCACCUGAUCCUCCUGAUGCACCCUCCGUUGUUAGCAAUAUCAAGGUUUUGUUUAAACAUUUGCAGGAACAAGUUAUUUACAAGGAGAAUCAAGAAAGGAUGGGACUGGUCCCUCAGUCAGUUCCUGAUCGGGACAUAUCGGGCGGUCAUCGGAGAGACUUGGUGGGACGUAAUGGUGCGGCAAAUAAGGUAGGAGCUGAUGAAUCAGGGAGACAAAUAACAAGCGGGAAUUCAUUCUAUGGUGUGCCCACGAAGACGGGCAGCACAUCUCGCGAACCUGGGAGCAACAAUGCAGAGGCGAACGCUCAUAGUGGAGAUGCAAAUCGGAAUGAAAGAGAAAAUUCCUCUAACCGGAGUUCAGAUGCAGAUGCAGAUGAUGAUCCUCUACCAGCUUUUGAGGAUCUCCAAAUUAUCGGAGAAGCUUUUCCAGGAAGGGAACUUCUUGCAUGUGGAUACUCUAUAAAUGGCACCAGUAUUUGUAAUUUUGAGUGGAUUCGGCAUUUUAAAGAUGGAGCUGUCAAUAUUAUUGAUGGUGCAAUGCGACCCGACUAUCGUGUCACUGCCGAUGAUGUUGAUACAUACCUUGCCGUUCAAGUUCUGCCUCUGGACGAGAGAAAUCGCAAGGGAGAACCUGUGACUGUUUAUGCAAAUGAUAAGAAAAAGAUCACUUGUGAUGCUGAAAUGCAGAGCCACAUUGAGAAGACUCUCUAUAGUGGACGUGCUUCUUAUGAAGUCUCUCUUUCGACUGGAUAUCUUGAUAUAUGGGAACCAGCUACUCUGGCCAUUAAGAGGCACGGUUACAGUAUCAAAUGCAGGGGAGCAAGAGGAGUUGUAGUGUCGGAAAAAUUUUCUCCAUCUGUCAGUGUUGUGAUUGUUAAGUGAGCGUUUUAACAUUCCAAGUACCUGGAUGUCUAUUCUCAAGACAUUUGGGUAUGAUGUAUGUGGAACAUUUAGAGUUGCAGUAUUUGGUAUUUGGAUUUAGGUAAUCAGGAUUUCCGCUUAUCAAACGCAAUCUUGAGAGGCACACUGUCAAACAUAGUCAUUCCUCCUCCAUUAUAAAACACAAAAUCUCAUCCCAUGGAAAAUUGUUGAUCGUCUCAGCAAAUGUUCCUCGAUAUAUGAUAUAUAUUCUCGAUGGAGAUCAGUAUUUUGUCAGUGCCUUGUAGGAGGGUAUAAAUUGAGAAGUCUGGUUCUAAUGUCGGAAAAGAUACAUCAUGUUAAUGCCCAUUGCAGUUGGUUAUUAAUGGGAAGGUUGCGAUUCCUUAUGGACGUGUUUCGGAAUUUAUAAUGAUCUGUGCUAGUGGUGAUCAGCUUCUGUUGCGGACAGAAAACAACUCGACAGGUGCCAGUAGUUCCAGGGACACAAUCGU